GAUACGGGGCAACAUGGCGGCGCGCAUGGCACUGUACGGAAAGAAGUGUAGGGAGUCCUCAGAUGCCAAAGGCUGAAGGCGCUUCAGCUUUUCACGCCGAAGAAAUCUCUCUGGCUGUGUUGCCCGGGUUGCCUUUGGGGGAUUUGCUUAUCAACGCCGACGAGCAAUUUAGGAGCCCAUGUCAGGGUGCGACUGACAGAGCUGCCGGCAAAGAUACCGCGUCCUGGGUUGAAGAACUGACAUCUACUUCUCCGAGGCACUGAAUGAGGGCAACGCAAACCAGAAAUCGAUGCCGUCCCCCUUUGGAGAGGGAAGAUUUCUGUGCAAACAGGAGCUCCUCGGGGUCACCACGCAUCCAAAAUGCUGGGUGCUAUCCACACCGCUGUCUAUAGGCGCUGAGCCCGCAGGUCCUCGCUCGCAGACCGUGUCCUCUAAACAACCCGUGGGAGAUGCCGGCACCUCUGGAGGGUGGCCCGAUGUCACCAGGUCAGGCCUCUGUUUCUAUUCCUCCUCUGGAGGAUCCUGUUCCUGCCAUGACUAUAUCGGGAUCUUCCAGCCCUCCCUUCCAUCUCGGCAUUUAAACCAGCUAAAAUUAGGCGGUGGGAAGGUCCCCUCCCCGCUGCCAGCACAGCUGUCGUGCCCGUGACGGCUCUUCCAGCUCGGUGCAGACGCACAGAGCCUCCAGCGAGUCUGGGUACCUGCUUCCCGGGGCACCGUGGUCCCAGGACCUGCCAAAAUCUCUAGCACGGACAACCCCCGCGUACGCAACCAUCGCAGCCCGCGUGCCCCGGGAGCAAAAGGGCCCCAGUUAGGCCAAUUUCGGCAUUACGGAAAAUCAGCUGCAGGUCUUGCAGGUUGACAGAGCUCUCGGAGGUGGUCCCGGUUAGGAAGCAAACGCGAUGAUGGAGUCAGGGAAAAGGAAUGCGGAUCUUGAAGAAUGGGAUGCAAAAAUCAGGAAGUUAACGGAAGAGUUCGAAGAAAGCGACACGGAACUCGAGGAGUGUGACACAGAAAAUG